rnacentral:rRNA from 2 species
UACGUAGGGGGCGAGCGUUGUCCGGAAUCAUUGGGCGUAAAGAGCGUGUAGGCGGCUUGGAAAGUCUUACGUGAAAGCCUGCGGCUCAACCGCAGAAGUGCGUAGGAAACUUCCUCGCUAGAGUCCGGAAGAGGAGAGCGGAAUUCCUGGUGUAGCGGUGGAAUGCGCAGAUAUCAGGAGGAACACCCGUGGCGAAGGCGGCUCUCUGGGACGGUACUGACGCUGAGACGCGAAAGCGUGGGGAGCGAACAGG